CGCCGCCUUUGUUCUCUCAUCAGGCGCCCUGCACCUCAUCCCCACGGGAACCCGGUUACUUGACCAGCCUGAGGUUUCAGGUGAGGUCAGGACACAGCCUGGCAGCCGCAGUGAAGCCCGCUGGCUCGGCCUCCCUGGCCGGUGUAGGUGACGACGAACAAUACACCGGCUUGCUAACAGCUGGGAGAAUGGUUACGUUUGUUUGUGUGUCUUGAUUUGCGGGCCGCUACAUUUAACUUCCAAUAUCUACCAAGAGCGGUGGUGCUUGCAAAGGCAUCUGUCUGUAUGGCUUCACAGUGCUCAAUGCUUCAGAAAGAUGGAUGAAUGAGACCAGGUAUUAUCAUAAGCCAGGUAUUCUUAGCACCCUUGGCAGCUCCCUGUAAUUAGAGUCUCUACGUUUCAUUCCAGAUCCUAGACUUUCAUCUUCAGAAAACCAUUGUUUUGUGGGAGCUCUCCAGGGUACUGGACUUCUGCCUGAAAAACAUCUCUGACAUCACAGACUAGCGUACCACACCUAAUCUAACUGACAUCUCUGUGUGUCUUGAACAUUGUCUUCUUUAUACCAGUCACACUGGUCUUUGACUGCACUUACAGAGAACCACAUUCUCCCCAGUCCGAGAGCUCUGUGCACGCCAUUUCUUCUUGAAACUCCCUCUCUUCUGUAGAACUACCUCUUUCUACCAACAAGUCUCUGUGGCUCAGCUUAAAUGUGUCCUUUUUCGAAACACCCAACUAGAAGGAUUUCCUGCUUGUGAAUCCAUGUUGUUCUCCCUCAUCACCUGCAUAUGUCUAUGUCCUAAUGCCCAGAACCUGUUAUUGUGAUACCAUGCACGGCAAAGGGGACAGUGCAGAUGUGAUUAAGUUGAAGAUCUUGAAAUGGGAAGAUUUUCCUGAAUUAUCUGGGAUCAGAGUUAAAGACAGAUGAUGGCAAUAGCAGGCGGGAGGGGGAGGAGAAGUAUGGGUUUGAAGUUGCUAUGCUAUGCUGCUGGUUUUGAAGAUGGAGGAAGGGGCCAAGGAAUGCAGAUGGCCUUUAGAAGUUUGGAAAGGCAAGGAAAUGGAUUAUUCUCUAGAGCCCAGAAGGAAUACAGACUUGCUGACCCAUUUUAGACUUCUGGUCUCCAGCACUGGAACACAAUAAAUACGUGUUCUUUUAUGCCACUAAAUGUGUGGUAAUUGAUCACAUCUGCAAUAGAAAACGAGUACAGUUAAGAACAUAGCAUUACAAAGCCCAAGUUCCCGGAUGUGAGCCCAGGGCCAGCGCUGCCAGCAGAUCCUUCU